rnacentral:rRNA from 1 species
UGGGGAAUAUUGCACAAUGGGCGCAAGCCUGAUGCAGCCAUGCCGCGUGUGUGAAGAAGGCCUUCGGGUUGUAAAGCACUUUCAGCGAGGAGGAAGGUGGUGGACUUAAUACGUUCAUCAAUUGACGUUACUCGCAGAAGAAGCACCGGCUAACUCCGUGCCAGCAGCCGCGGUAAUACGGAGGGUGCAAGCGUUAAUCGGAAUUACUGGGCGUAAAGCGCACGCAGGCGGUUUGUUAAGUCAGAUGUGAAAUCCCCGGGCUCAACCUGGGAACUGCAUUUGAAACUGGCAAGCUAGAGUCUCGUAGAGGGGGGUAGAAUUCCAGGUGUAGCGGUGAAAUGCGGUAGAGAUCUGGAGGAAUACCGGUGGCGCAAGGCGGCCCCCUGGACGAAGACUGA